CAAAGUAGAGAUAUAAGUAACUGACACAUCUGGGUUGUGGUUUACCUAGCUAUAUAAAUCAUCAGCAUAAUAAUGGAUGUCACUGGGUUUUCACUAAGGGAAAGUGUAGAGAGAGAAGUGGGUUCAACCACUAGGCCCAAACUUACUAAUACUUCCACUGAGAAUGCUAAGUUUGGAACAACUAAAAUACCUUGGAUCACAGACGUAUGAACAGGUCAUAAUUCAACUUGAAAGGAAUUUUUACUUAUAGUUAUUAGCAAUCUGAUUUGUUUUUAAAAAUCUUAUAAUAAAAGUGGAGUAUGCCAUACAGGUGGAAAAAGGAAUAGAGAAUCUAAGGAGUGAUCUCCAGGACGUGCUGAUUUUUGAAAAAUACAGGGAAACUACUAUGUAUAAUAAGCUACCUUUUAUACAAGAAAUGAAAGAGGAAGUACAAUAUAUACCUACACACUUUCUAAUGGUAAAAAUAGUUACCAAAAAUGGCUAUGUAUAUAGAUGGAAGGAAAAGAGUGGAAAGGACAGAGAAAAGCUAGAUUUAUGAAAAUGUUGUAUACAAUUAAUUGAAAUAGAAAAAGGAAUAAUACACAAAAAUCAAAAGCAAAAUGAAACAAACCUGUGUUUCAAGUUGAUGGCUUAGUCACACAGAAAGGAAUUAUUUCAAUGACUUUAAAACUAAAUAAUUUGACAUCUAGUGGGAUAUAUCUUCUGAGCAACUAAAAAGCCUGAAACUUAAAACUUUUCAAUAGUCAUAUUGUUAAUAUUGACACUGCUAUUCAGAAAUUAUAUAUGUUGGGGUGGGGAUUUAGCUCAGUGGUUCCGCCGCCUGCCUUGCAAGCUCAAGGUCCCAAGUUUGAUCCCUGGUACCAAAAAAUAAUGAAGUAUCACAUAUAUAAUUUCUAUUAUUAUUAUUUAUACUUAUUAUAUAGGUAUAAAAUAAGAAAUCAUUAUCAGGAACCAAGACUUUCUGCAUAAGAGGCAGGCCAAUGCAUGGUUGAAGUACUGUAGUAAAGUAAAACUAAUACAAAAUUGGAACUGGAACUAUCAAGUUGAACUAAUGAUGUAUAUUUUCUUAAAAAGAAAAAUAUAUCCUCCAUCUGAACACUGAAGGGUCCAGAAACAAUGUCCAACUGAGUUGAAUGCAUACCUUCAGUGCUUAAAUUAUCUCUAAAUACCAUUUCUCACUAAAACAAAUCCAGAUGUUGGGAUGGCUGGUUCCAGUUCUGGACAGGAAAUGUGUGAGAAUAACCUUGAACAAGUUCUCAUAUGAGGAAGCAAAGAAUCAUCAAAGACUACUGGGACUGUAUUAAAGAAAUCGAGAAGCCAAUCUGAAUAGGCUCCUACUAGCUGAAUAAAUAAUCUGAACAUCAAAAAGAGUGAAGUGACCUAGAUAUACACAGAAGGAAGGAUCAAACUCGGGUCCUUGAACUUGUGAGGCAGGUGGCAGAACCACUGAGCUAAAUUCUUGGCCCUUGAAUGGAUCUUUAACUGUAGUCCAAGAAUUUUGUUCCAGUCCCAAUUCCACAAAAAGGGCCUGAAGAACGACAAGACCAAUGUCACUUAAAUAAUAUGAUAAAAUUGCUCUGUCAUAUUCUAUGGUGUGAGAAGAUAAUUUUCCCAACGUCUCAUCCUAGGAAACCCAAGGCCCAGCCAGUAACUGAAUUUUGUUACUCUACCAGUAGAUGGCAGAAAGGGAUCAAAAAGAUUACUUUGGAGAGAGUAAGUAGAUGAAAGCGACUAAUCCUAGAUAGAUUUUAAGUAAGUUCAUUUGUUUAGACAAAAGAGGCAAAAAAAAAAAAAGGUAAGCACAAAGGUCUGCUUGUUACUUAUUAUAUGGAAUUUAUCACCUGAAUUGUCCCAGUCUCUUCUAACAAAUGCUUUUCUCUUCUCUUCCAGGAACUGGCUUGGAAUGAGACCAGCACUUCCUCCCUCUUUCACAUGGCUAGCCUAGAAUGAAAUCAAUGCAUUAUAUCUCACUGAUCAAAAUUUGAAACCAUUUUCUAGUAAGGCAGGCAGUGCUUAGAAAAAACAGUCACAUUUGCUUUUAAAAACAACCAUUAGAUUUAAGUUCAUGAUAUUGUUGGUUAAAGUAUUUAAACACUUUAGGAUUGAGGAAUCAAUUUGCACCUAAAAUUCUUUGUGCUGUAUAUGGCAUCUGGUAGUGAAAUUUUGAGACCAAAAUCAAAAGUACACACAGAUUCCUUGAAUUACUAAAGCUUUUUUAUUUAUAAGACUUAGUUCAAGAAGGGAAAGAAAUAAAUGCUAUUUUACAGUUUGAUGUGUUAAGAGGAAAUUUCAACUAGCAUUCUUUAGUAAGACAUUUACUAACAACCUUAAUCAUCUCUGUAUUUCUUGAGACAAAAAUCAAUGAAAAGGAGACAAUAUAGGGAAUACAGAGAAGUUUUAAUUCACACUAAUAAGAAUCUGAAUAUUCUAUGAGAUUAAAACUUUAUUCAGUGUAAAAAAUCUUUUAAAGUAAAAAAUAACUGAUAUUUGAAAAUGGUGGUUUGAGAACUGGCUAUUAGUGGCGUAUCUCACAAAGUUAGUGUCUUAUCCUUAUUACUGGCAUAGAAAAUCUGAUUUUUUAGCAACACUGAAAAUUAGAAGUAACAGACUAUUAAACUGGAAAAAGAGACUGAGAUAAUGGUGACAGGAUUAGAAAUGAAAACUAAGAGAGAAUGAUUCAUAGAAAAAAAAAGAGGAAAAAUCAGAAAAAUUCAAUGAACAGCCACAGAAAGAUUUUUAAAAGGAGGGUUCUAAGAAAUUCAGUACAUACCUCUCAAAAUCAUGAUUCCAUUUAACUUACCUGUUUCUUAAGUUUUCUUACCACAUAGUACACUUAUAUAUAAGAUCUUAAUUUAAAUUGCAGACACACUAGUAAGAUUGUUCUCAUACUAUGAACCAUUUCUCCUUAGAAGCCAAUAUAAUGUAUUAGUGUUAAUAUGAGUUUCCAAUAAUAUCUCAGUUAAUAAUAGAGUUUAGUGCUAAGAUUUCCUUGAUCCUUCCUCUUACACAUUGUUCUUUUUUUUUUGGUACUGGGGAUCGAACUCAGGACCUUGCACCUGCAAGGCAGGCACAGUGCCACUGGGCUAAAUCCCCAGCCCUAUACCUUGUUCUUUAAUGAGACUGUCAUUUGCUCUGAUAGUUUAAAAGAUUUCUGACUUUCUGAUUUGUUCGUUUCUCCAAUUCUUAACACUGUGAUUGUUAGGCUUAUGUAAAAAAUUACCAAAACAGACUUAUUACUGCCUCUAGAGAUUUCUAAAAAUGGUAUUAGUAGGGAAAGGAAAAAACUUCACAUAAAUUUCUGGAAAAUAGGGUGGGGAAAAUAAAAUGUAACCUGUAUCUCUUUUCAUAUACACAGGUUAUAAUCCAACUCAAAAGAAAACUGAUGGAGCAAGCCUUCAUUUCUCAAUAAAUGUGAGGAGGUGGGCAAACAGAUUUAUGACCUUAAGAAAUCAUGUUUUAAAACUUGUUAUGAACAUAUACAAAGGGGAGACGGGACAAGAGUUUAAUUAAACCAAAACCAAACACUGAUAAAGGAUGACCCCAAGUAAGUUCUUCUUCCACAAGAGCAUAUGUUAAUACAGUCACCCAUGUGAAAUAACCAAUCAGCCUAAUCCCUAAACCAACAGGAAGGUACCAUAGGUGGGUUAAUUCUCCAUUUAUUAAUAGCUACUCACAAAUCCCUCUCAAUUUGGUCUUCUGUCCACAAAAUUAGUAGCCAUGAUGCAGGAACUGUUCAUGCUGGAAAAAUCAUUGAACAAAUGCUAAUACCUUCUUCCUGAAUAUUCAGAUAUUGGCCAGAUCUAAGAUUAAAAAUAGA